rnacentral:rRNA from 1 species
GACGAACGCUGGCGGCGUGCCUAAUACAUGCAAGUAGAACGCUGAAGAGAGGAGCUUCCUCUUCUUGGAUGAGUUGCGAACGGGUGAGUAACGCGUAGGUAACCUGCCUUGUAGCGGGGGAUAACUAUUGGAAACGAUAGCUAAUACCGCAUAACAAUGGAUGACACAUGUCAUUUAUUUGAAAGGGGCAAUUGCUCCACUACAAGAUGGACCUGCGUUGUAUUAGCUAGUAGGUGAGGUAAUGGCUCACCUAGGCGACGAUACAUAGCCGACCUGAGAGGGUGAUCGGCCACACUGGGACUGAGACACGGCCCAGACUCCUACGGGAGGCAGCAGUAGGGAAUCUUCGGCAAUGGGGGCAACCCUGACCGAGCAACGCCGCGUGAGUGAAGAAGGUUUUCGGAUCGUAAAGCUCUGUUGUAAGUCAAGAACGGGUGUGAGAGUGGAAAGUUCACACUGUGACGGUAGCUGACCAGAAAGGGACGGCUAACUACGUG